AACGAACGCUGGCGGCGUGCCUAACACAUGCAAGUCGUGCGAGAAAGUUCCUUCGGGAGCGAGUAAAGCGGCGCACGGGUGAGUAACACGUAGGUAACCUGCCCCCCAGUCUGGAACAACUAGAGGAAACUCUAGCUAAUGCCGGAUGAGACCACGAUCCCUUCGGGGGUUGCGGCCAAAGAUGGCCUCUACUUGUAAGCUAUCGCUGAGGGAUGGGCCUGCGGGCCAUUAGCUUGUUGGUGAGGUAACGGCUCACCAAGGCUGUGAUGGCUAGCUGGUCUGAGAGGAUGACCAGCCACACUGGGACUGAGACACGGCCCAGACUCCUACGGAGGCAGCAGUGGGGAAUAUUGCGCAAUGGGCGAAAGCCUGACGCAGCGACGCCGCGUGGGUGAUGAAGGCCUUCGGUCGGUAAG
rnacentral:rRNA from 1 species